AAUUCUAAAGAACAUAAUAUUUUACAUUAAAGCAAAUACGAACAUUGUAGUGUUAUGUAAAAGUAAAUGUAAAUUACUUCGUGAUAUUUAUUUAUUUUUAUAUUUUAUUAAAUUAUGUUACGUAGUUUUAAGUAUUACAGUGGUUUUACUCUAGCCCGAAAAAAACAUACCGGAAAAGUGAUAGCCAUACGAAGAGAAGAUCAAUCAGUAUGGGAAAGAAGAGCCCCAUUUGCACCAGCCAACGUGGCCGAAUUAACCAAGAACGGCGUCAAAGUAAUCGUCCAACCGGCAAAUAGAAGAGCUUAUCCCGUUCAAGCAUAUGUAAACGCUGGAGCAGUGAUACAAGAAGACAUAUCGGAAGCGUCGGUGGUAUUUGGCGUAAAACAAGUCCCUGUCGAUUUGUUACUGCCGAACAAAACUUACUGCAUGUUCUCGCAUACAAUCAAAGCACAAGAGGCUAACAUGCCUCUGCUGGACGCUAUUUUGGAAAAAAACAUACGACUAAUAGAUUACGAAAAGCUGAUGGAUUCUUCAGGGAACAGAGUAGUGGCCUUUGGAAAAUAUGCCGGAAUUGCCGGUAUCAUAAAUAUUUUACACGGUUUAGGAUUGCGAUUGCUAGCUCUUGGACACCAUACACCACUAAUGCACAUUGGACCCGCCCACAAUUACCGGAAUUCAAUGAUGGCCAGGCAAGCGCUAAGAGACGCCGGAUAUGAGAUCGCGUUGGGAAUGAUGCCUAAAUCUAUAGGUCCGGUUACGUUUGUCUUUACUGGGUCGGGAAACGUGUCGCAAGGGGCACAAGAAAUAUUCCAAGAAUUACCACACGAAUACGUGCCACCAUCUAUGCUCCAAAAAGUUGCAGAACAUGGAGGCAGUACCAAGUUUUACGCAUGUGUAGUCACGCGUAAAGAUUAUUUGGAAAGAAUUGAUGGCGGAGGAUAUAACCAAGAAGAAUAUGAACAAUAUCCGUCUAAGUACAGAUCAACGUUCAACAAAAAGAUCGCUCCGUAUGCUUCGGUCAUUAUCAACGGCAUAUACUGGGCUCCGGAUUGUUCCAAACUAUUGACGGUGCCAGAUGCAAAGUCGCUGCUCACUCCUUCUCAGCUCCCAUGGAUACCAAUAUCCGAAGGCGCACCAGGACUUCCGCACAGGUUACUGGGUAUCUGUGAUAUAUCUGCAGACCCGGGUGGUUCUAUAGAGUUCAUGAACGAGUGCACGACAAUUGACAAUCCAUUUUGCCUGUACGACGCACAUUUACACAAAGACACCAAAAGUUUCAGAGGCUCGGGAGUGUUAGUGUGUUCAAUAGAUAAUAUGCCUACGCAACUACCAAUGGAAUCCACAGACUUAUUUGGAAACCUAGUACUUCCAUACGCCAUGAAUAUACUUCAAUCGGAUGCCACUAAACCACUGGAAGAGGAAACUUUUUCCCCAGCCGUUCUAGGAGCUAUCAUCGCCAGCAACGGAUCACUGACCGAACGGUUUGAAUACAUCAAAGAGUUGCGGCUAGCCAAUAAAUUCGCUUCCUCUAAGUCCUCCAACGUUGAUCAUACUGGCAAAAGAGUAUUGGUACUCGGUUCAGGUCACGUGUGUGGACCGUUAAUCGAAUAUCUUUUAAAAGAUGAAUCCUUAAUAAUUAUACUCGGUUCUGUGGACAUGAGUGGAGCCAACAGCUUGGCAAACAAGUUUAAUCGAGUUCAGCCAACUCAAAUAAAUAUUUUGGAGGACUUAAGUUACUUGAAAGAACUUGUUGGACAGUCUGAUUUGGUUGUGUCGCUUCUCCCUAGUCAAUUUCACCACUUGGUUGCUGAACAGUGUAUAGAAUUGAAAAAGAACAUGGUAACGGCUUCAUAUUGUUCAGAUAAAAUGUCACAGCUGCACGACAAAGCCGUUGAAGCUGGUAUAACCGUUGUCAAUGAAGUUGGUUUAGACCCGGGUAUUGACCAUUUGUUGGCUAUGGAAUGCAUCGAUCAGAUACACGAAGAAGGUGGUAAGAUCGACUCGUUCGUAUCGUAUUGUGGGGGUUUGCCGGCUCCCGAAUACUCCAACAAUCCACUGAGAUACAAGUUCUCGUGGUUUCCUCGCGGAGCGCUUGUAAAUACCGUAGCUGAAGCCAAAUACCUACAAAAUCACGAAAUAAUUGAUAUACCUGCCGGUGGAGCUUUAAUGAACAGCACGACGGAAUUAGAUUUCUUACCUGGAUUUUCGUUUGAAGGUUUCCCAAAUCGGGACAGCACUCGAUACGCCAAACUUUACGGCAUAGCAGCGGAAGUACAGACCAUGCUCAGGGGUACGAUACGGUAUAAAGGUUUUUCUGAGAUGAUGAUGAUACUGCAAAAAUUGCGCCUUAUUGAUUCUAAGGACCACGCUGUCCUCCACCCAAACGGGCCUGACAUCACGUGGUGUCAGUUAAUUUGCACGCUAUUGGAGAUCAAUGACACUGACAUGUUUUACGAAAAUUUGUUGUCGAAAGUGGCUGAUAAAAUCGGACCAUCAGUCCUAGACAAAGUCAUGGAUUUAGGGCUAUUAACAGAGGAACCAGUCUUAAAACUCGGCUCACCAUUAGACACGUUUUCACAAUUUAUCGCUUCAAAAUUGUCUUUAAUUUUACUUACACAGAUAAAGACGAAAGAGACCUGGUGGUAUUAUACCACGACAUCGGAGUUCUGUGGCCCGGUAAUCGGUACGAAAAGAAAUUGGUAACGCUCGUGUCUUACGGCGAGACCAAUGGAUACACAGCAAUGGCGAAAACAGUUGGAAUACCGACGGCAAUAGCAGCUACUAUGGUCCUCCAAGGAGAAAUUCAAGCUAAGGGCAUGGUGUUACCAUUCACCCCGGAUAUUUACAGGCCCAUGUUGACGAGAUUAAGGCUUGAAGGGAUAUCUGCACAAACCACGAAUGUUCGGUCAUGAUUUUAUUAUAUUUUUCGUAUCAAAUGAAAUGUUUUAUUGGUUUUUUUUUUUUUUUUUAACGUCAUUGUAUAAUAUGAUAUAAUAUUUGUCAUAUCAAUUCGUAUUAAGUAUAUAGCUUGUUUUUAUACGUAAAAUAAUAUACAACCAUUAUACCUAAUCAA